GGGGAGACGUGGCUUUGCAGCAGUGGACGCCUUAAACCAGACCGACUGCCUGUUUUUUUAUUUAUUUAAAUAAUUCUGAAUUUCAUGUGCACUAGUAAGUUAAUAGAAAGCGCUGCCUUAAUUACCGCUUGUGAAUUCCACUGGGUGGCGCACUUGCACCAGGUUUAGAGUCUGCACCAAAUCUCACUUAAGGAUUUCAACCGACAUCAGUUUCUAAUAUAAUGUAAUGUCAUCUUUAAUUUGAAAGCAUCCACAGUCACAUUCAGCGUUUGGACAAGAAAACUUCAAACUUCAGCCUACACAGAGUGAUGUCCACUGAAACCGUGGUUAUUAAAACGCGUAUCGGUUAUGACUAAAGCUGGAUCAAAGGCAUUUCCAGGCACCAAGACCCCCCAGGAUCAUUCAGUCUUAAUGUUUCAGUCUGACAAAUAAUUUGCACUAAUAAUUUUGAGUAAUUAAUUUUCCUCUAAAGCUUGGGUAUACUUUUAAUCAGUACCUAAACUAAACUAUAUAUGAAGUCUAAAUAAUAUUUAAGCGUCUAAAUAAUAUUUAAGCUUCGUGCUAAUUGUAAUGUUUUUGUGGAUUCCUUCGCAGCAUCUAUUUUUGGUGUAUACUCAGCAUACCCUCUGAACUGCUUCUAGCUUUGAGGCCCUCUAGUGGGUUCGUCUGCUUUUUGAAAGUGCUAAACCUUUGUACUACUGCAUGGUAGGAAUGGGAAAUGUCUUUUCUGCUUUCAUGGUCUUGUUGUUUAGUUCGGAUGAAAAGCGUGGUUUGAGAGCAUCCUCAACAAGCAACUAAAAGCAAUUGCCAUUAUAAUAAUUUCAGCUAUUACUGACCCUGGCAAAUAAAUAAAUAAAUAAAUGUAUGUUGAGAAAACACAGUAAAUGUUGAUAACAUGACACUGUAUCAUUUUGAUGAGAUCCAAAGGACUGGAAACAACACAAAUCAUGCCUUUUAUCACACACACACGUGUCUUCACAUUUCUAGGCUCCUUAAUUUCUAUCAGUCAAAGCAUUGCUCUAAACUUGCUGCUAAGGUUCUGUUCAAUUUGUGGAGAAUCAUUUUACAAGCAACUAACGAGACAUCAAGUAUGAUAUUCACAUUGGCUCCAUUAUAUAUUAUUGCCCUAUUUGAUCAUUGGUUUACAUGAAACACAAUGGAAAGCACACUUGAGUUCUAAUGGAUCCAGUCUGUUGAACAGUACCAGGUGUUUGCCAUCAACACUACUGGGUCUCAUCACCAUAGAGAAUGUUCCUCAUUCUUCUUCCACAUAGAACUUUGCCUCAUACAUCCUGUAUGAGGCAAAAACAAGGGGCCUAAAAUGUACAUGCUGGAGAUGAAUUUUAGAUUUUGUAUUUAAUCUAAAAAUGGGAAUGAGAAACAUUUAUGAUCAACUCCUCAGAACUUUGUGUGGUUUGCAUUGACAACUUAAAUAAACAACACUGAUGGUUUUAAUUGGCAGAAUUUACUUGAGGUAAAAGACUGGACACCUGUCUGUUAGUGCGAUGAUGCAAACGCGUUUACGAAAAUGCAUUUUCUGAACAAACGCAUCCAUGUCCACCUCAGCCUUCUGUUGCGGCGCUCACCCCCUCGGUCUUCAGGCUCUGCCAAAGAAACGGGUGGAUUUCUGUUGAUGAAGGGCAGAGCAGUGUUCUCAAUUCGAAUUUCCACUGUUUGGGUGUUUCAUCUGUGAAGAGAAGGCUGAGAGAAGAAGGGAUAACAAACUUGAUACCUGCAGUACUGCCAGUAAUACUUCUGAAUGCAUAGUUGUGCUUCAGUCCCAAGGCUGGAGCUAAUGCAAUUUAAAGCAUUAAGGACAAAGCCGCCUUUGGUUUGUUGUAGCAUUAAUAUUUUGAUACAGUAAACAUUAAAAGUGUCUGAACAUUUUCUGACUUUC